rnacentral:rRNA from 1 species
UCGUGACCGGUUUACCACCGGGAUGUUCAUAACCCUUUGUUGUCCGACUCUGUUGCCUCCGGGGCGACCCUGCCUUCGGGCGGGGGCUCCGGGUGGACACUUCAAACUCUUGCGUAACUUUGCAGUCUGAGUAAACUUAAUUAAUAAAUUAAAACUUUUAACAACGGAUCUCUUGGUUCUGGCAUCGAUGAAGAACGCAGCGAAAUGCGAUAAGUAAUGUGAAUUGCAGAAUUCAGUGAAUCAUCGAAUCUUUGAACGCACAUUGCGCCCCCUGGUAUUCCGGGGGGCAUGCCUGUUCGAGCGUCAUUUCACCACUCAAGCCUCGCUUGGUAUUGGGCAACGCGGUCCGCCGCGUGCCUCAAAUCGACCGGCUGGGUCUUCUGUCCCCUAAGCGUUGUGGAAACUAUUCGCUAAAGGGUGUUCGGGAGGCUACGCCGUAAAACAACCCCAUUUCUAAGGUUGACCUCGGAUCAGGUAGGGAUACCCGCUGAACUUAAGCAUAUCAAUAA